GCCGGGCGUGGUGGCGCGCGCCUGUAGUCCCAGCUACUCGGGAGGCUGAGGUGGGAGGAUCGCUUGAGUCCAGGAGUUCUGGGCUGCAGUGCGCUAUGCCGAUCGGGUGUCCGCACUAAGUUCGGCAUCAAUAUGGUGACCUCCCGGGAGCGGGGGACCACCAGGUUGCCUAAGGAGGGGUGAACCGGCCCAGGUCGGAAACGGAGCAGGUCAAAACUCCCGUGCUGAUCAGUAGUGGGAUCGCGCCUGUGAAUAGCCACUGUACUCCAGCCUGGGCAACAUAGUGAGACCCCUUCUCUU
ensembl:misc_RNA Metazoa_SRP Metazoan signal recognition particle RNA